rnacentral:lncRNA from 1 species
UGGAACUAAACCUAAUGCUUUAAAUUAAGAAAUUAAAUGUUUUUAGAGCAUGAUCCAUGCAUCAUGAAAUGCCAUGAUAUGUAUUAGGUUGUUUUGCAUUAGAAUCCACGAAUAUGAUGCAUUGCAUAAUAUGUUGUUGAUGUGGAUGGAUAUUGGAUGAUCCUUAGCCCUCAGUAUGAGAUGAGAUAAUAUGAUAUGAGAUGACAUGGUAUGAUAUAGAAAGCCCAGGUGUGGCCUAAUCGCCCCUGGCAUCAUGUAUAUGUAAGGAAAGACCAGGCGUGGCCUAAUCGCCCUUGGCAUAGUUGGACAUGUUAUGAUAUGAGUUAUGUAAGCGAAUACUAGGUGUGGCCUCAUCGCCCCUGGUAUAGUUGGACAUAUUUCGAUAUGUAGAGGGCUAAUGGUGACAAGUUCAUCCUUGAUGUGAUAUGUUUGCGAUGUGAUGCAUUCCAUGAUGGCAUACUUGUAAAUGAACUGUUCUGCUAGUGUGGUUUCCGCUCACUGGGCUUUAUAGCUCACCCCUCUCCCCUAACCCCAGGUUUGCAGGGUCAGAGAUAGUCAGAAGAUCAGCAGGUUAUGUCUAUUGUCAGAUUCAUGUAAUAGAUUAGUAGUGGACAUGAUGUAAGGUAAAGAUAUGUAAUGAAAUGUAAAAUGUUAUGAUGUAAAUCAAUGUAAUGUAAUAGAUAGAGUUGUGCUUUACCCUAGAAGUGUGGUUAAUCCCUUUGUAUAUGGUCCUUAUGUAUGUCUUUAAUGAGACCGGAAAACCAAGCUUAUUAUAUGUUGCCCCAUUAGAGUUGACGAUGAGAACUCUAGUGUUGGGGUUUAUGUUUAUGAGUUUGUGCAUGCACGGGUUAAGCUUGGUGUAUGAAAGAAAGAAAAAGUUUACAAAUUUUAUGUUUUACAGCUUUUAUGUUUAUGUUUGAUCAUGUUUGGGAUUAUACCAGAUGUACAGGAUGUAUGUUAGGCUUGCUACGGGUCCUGGCGGCCUUAAGCCGAUCUGGAUCCUAGCGCCGGUAGCGGUCCGAUUUUCGGGUCGUUACAGAAUGGUAUCAGAGCCCUAGGUUCACAUGGUCGGACCUAGAGUGUCGGGCUCAUAGAGGUUAUAGAAGGGCAAGCACAAUAGGAAAGAUCAUGUCCACUAGGAUAGGAUGUGGAGUCCUGUCUUGUAUGAUGAUGUGAAAUGUCAUGAUGAUACGCAUGUGCAUUAAUGUUAUGUAUGUGAGGUAGGUUCAUGUGUUUCCACGUGGACCGUAUGAUGCUAAUGUUUAUGUGAUAUGUUAUGCUUUCAGGAGUUAAGAUGAGGGGAACUCGUCGAUCUGCUAGAUUGACUGGAGCUCCGCCAGAGAAUGAGGGCAUGGAUGCCCAUUCCCCUACUCUGCAGAGGGCAAGAUCUUGUAGGACGAUCAGGGAAGGUACAUCAAGGGGCCCUAGAAGGUCUUUUGAUGCAAGUCGGAGGAGAUCAGUUCAUGGUGGUAGGUCAGAUGAUGUGAUGGAAACUGAGGAGGAUAAUCAGAGAAGAGAUAGCAGUUUGGGUAGGAGUAUGUCAGAAGAGGAUAUGGGAGAGUCCCAAGGAGGCACUCAGGCCUCGGGCUUUGUUCCACCACAGUAUCCACCCUACCCGCAAGGGCCAGGGUAUCCGAUGGGAGGUACAUCGGAUUUCUUUCAUUGCAGCCCAUAUCCCACCUUCAUGCCCUAUCCUCCCUUUUACCCACUGUACACACAGUACCCCAUGUUUCCAUCCUCACCCUUUUUCCCAGGUCCAGCAAACCCUAACCCAGAGAAUGCUGCACCUCCUCCUCCACCAGCAGAACCAAUAGUCCCUGAUGUCCAGAUACCCAAACAUGGUUCAGCAGUUGGGGGUAAAGUAAAGAUGACAGACUACCUAAAGUUGGAUGCCCCCAAGUUUGCAUCAGGUGAUGACCCUUUUGAGUACCUCAAAACGGUGAAGAUGAUAAUUGAUGAGUUGGGAGCAAGUGACAGUAGAGCCAUUCAGAUGGCAGGGUUCACAUUGAAAUGCAAGAAGGCAAGGGAAUGGUUCAAAAACUAUGUGGACCCAAGGUUGGAAAGCUUAUCCUGGGAGCAGUUUGCCAAUGAGUUUGCAGGAUGGGCUUUUCCAGAUAGUUCCAGAGAACUGAAGAUGAUUGAAUUUGAGCAGUUAAGGCAGACGGAAGAGAUGAGUGUAGAGGAGUUUAUAGACAGGUUCCUGGAGCUGUUGCCGUUUGCAGGACAAGGUCUUGACACAGAUCUGAAGAAGUCUAGGAGAUAUGUUAUGAAGCUUCACUCCAGGUAUUCCUCGUUGAUUCAAUCAGCAGAAAGGGAGAGUUUCCAUGCUAUAGUGGAUAUGGCACGGAAAAUGGAGGCUAGUGCCACCCUUUAAGGGACAGUUAAACAGUACGUGGCACAGUCUUCGGGUUCCAAAGCCCCGGGGACAAGUGAUGUUAAUCUCUUCCCUCUGAGCGAGGCUGUCACAAAGAGUAAGAAGGGAGGCAGAGGCCUCAGAAAAUCGAAGAAGAGCAAGUUCUGGGAUCAGAUAAAGUCUGGUCUGGGUAUAAGUGAUGGUUCGAGCUCUGGUUCGGGUAACUCCAGAUGUACGAGGUGCGGUAGGCCGCACAAGGGAGUCUGCUUGGUAGGGACAACGGCAUGUUUCAGGUGCGGACAAGAGGGGCACAUGGCACGUGAGUGUCCCACCGCGACCUUGGUGACACAGUCCCAGCAGACAGUUUCAGGUAGAAUGGCUCAGCCAGGAGCUCCAGCCAUGGCGCAGGGCAGAGGCAGAAGAAGAGGGAUAGCUCCUUCUUCAGCAGGUUUCCCAAGUGAAGGUCCAUCAGCUCCAGCACGGAUCUUCACUAUGACCCAGCAGGAGGCUAACACAUCGAACCCGAUGGGAUCAGGUAAUCUCACUCUAGUAUGUUCUGAUGUGUAUGUUUUAUGAACCCUGAUGUUUCUCUUUCUUUGUUUGCUUGCGAGUCAUUGUGAGGUUGGGCAUGAUAGCUUAAGGGUUAGAGUAUCCCCUUUGGGUCGGUGGACCCAAGUGUGAUCCAUCAGUGACAGAGUCAGUCUGCCGGUAUAGUUCAGAGUAUGUUGUGAGUAGAUGCCUUCCAGCUGGCCUGGCGAUUCUAGAUUUGACUGUUUGACGUCAUUCUAGUGUUGGAUUGGUUCUUCUACUAGUGGUGCUACCUGAGUCUGCAAAGACAAGGUAGUCUAGUCCAGAGGUCAGGAUGGAUCAAAGGUAGUCCUUUGAGGGGACAGAGUAGGGAUACCUAGAAGUUUGAUGUCAGCCCUACGGGCUCGUAGGUUGUUCAGGAAAGGUUAUCAGGGGUUCUAGCUUUUUAGAGAGAGUUUGUUGGUCGGGUCAGGGAGCCAGCCUCAGUGCCAGUUGUUAGAGAAGUUCUUAGAUGUUUCCCCAGACGAGUUCCCAGGACUACCACCUGUCAGGGAGAUAGAGUUCCAAAUAGAAGUAAUGCAUGGAAUUGGACCAAUCUCUAUCCCUCCCCACAGGAUGGUAUCAUCGGAGUUAAAAGAGUUGUAAGGAUCAGUUGCAAAAGUUGGUAGACAAGGGUUCCCAUCUAACUAAGCACCUCACCUUGGGGUGUUCCAGUGUUGUUACGAGGACGAAGGAUGGAUCCCUAGGACUUUGUAUCGACUACAAGUCGUUGAACAAAGUCACUACCCAGAACAAGUAUUUGUUACCUUGGAUCGAUGAUCUAUUUUUAAACCAGCUAGCAGGAGCUGGUUGCCUUUCCAAAAUAGAUCUGAAGUCCAUGUACCAUCAGUUAAGAUCAAGGAAGAAGACGUACAUAGAGCAGUGUUUAGAACCAGAUAUGGGCACUAUGAGUUUCUAGGAAUGUCGUUCGGGUUAAUGAACGCCCCUACAGUAUUCAUGGAUCUCAUAAGCAAAGUUUUAGUCGGUUUCUGGACCACCCCAUUACUGUCUUCAUUGACGGUACCUCGGUGAGUUCCAGAAAUACAGAAGAGUAUGCCCAUUAUCUGAAAUCAGGAUUUGCAGAUCCUGAGAGAACAUGGCUUGGAUGCCAGUUCUCCAAAUGUGAGUUGCGGUCGAGGAGCAUACCUUUCUUGGGUCAUGGUAUGUCAAAAAAAAGAAAAAGAAAAAAAGGGGUAAGUGAGGUAGACCCGAGAAAGUUGAAGUUGUAGCUGACUAGCCCAGACCCAUUGUAGUGACAAAGAUCAAGAGCUUUUUGGGUUGGGCAGGUUACCUACUGGAGGUUCAUCUAGAACUUCUCUAGAGUUGCCGCUCCUAUGACCAGAUGGAUCAAGAAGAACCAGAGGAUUGUGUGGUCUACUCAGUGUGAAGGAGGCUUUGAAGAGCCGAAGGAAAUGUUGAUGUCAGUACCAGUGGUGGCUCUGUCCGCCAGUAAUGAAGAUGUCACAGUGUCCUGUGAUGCGUUCCGAGUGGAACUAGAUUGUGUGUUAACGUAAAGUGGCUGGAUGAUUGCUUAUGCUUCUAAGUAGCUGAAGAAGCAUGAGUUGAAUCAUCUUACACAUGACCUAGAGAUGGCGAUGAUAAUCUUUGCACUCAAGAUGUGGAGGCGAUGCCUGUAUAAGGUAUGAUGGUAGAUCCUUACGGGUCGAAAGAGCUUGCAAUACAUCUUGAGUCAAAGGGGAAGAACCGGUGGCAGAGGAGAUGGGUAAAAACUGUGUAGUGGUUAUGACUUUAAGGUUCAUUUUACGGUGAGGCAAAUAUUUUGAGAGAUGCCCUCAACCGGAAACCACUUGACGGCUAUCCCAUCCCUUAGUAUAGUAAGAAGAAGGUCAGUAGUCAAGGAAUGAGAAGAAUCAGAACUGCUGUGAGUCAGCAGGAGAGUUAUGAAGUUGCCCGCAAAAGGUAUGUAGAGUUUCAGAAGAGAGAAGAGUUUUAUCAGAGUGCGCAGCGGAAGCAUGAGGAGGUUCUCGAAGAAGUUGAGGUUGCUGGAGGUGUCUCCUAAAGAGAGGGUGAUUCAUAAUGGGCAGGAAGGUAAAUUAGUUCUCAAAUACAUUGGACCCUUUGAUAUCCUGCAAAGGAUUGGGAAUGUAUCUCACGAGUUAGAUUUGCCCACUCCAAUGGGAGAGAUCCAUCCGUUUUCCCAUGUUUCCACGAUAUAUGAGUUCGUGUCGAAUCCGAGUGAGGUUCUUAAAGGAACCAGAGGUGGGGAUCGUAGAGGAUCUCACCUAUGUUGAGCAGCUAGUACGCACCGCAGACACACAAGUUAGAAAGUGUGGAAACAAGGAAAUCCCGAUGGUGAAAGUCCCUUAGAAUCACCUUAAGAUGAAAAGUACACCAGGGAGACCGAGAGUUCGUACUCCAGUGAUAUCGUGUUUCUUUAUAGAUUAGAGCUUAUGUGUUGUCAUGAUUGUGCUUAUGUUAUGUAUAUGCAUGUGUCUGUUUGUUUGAACAUUCGGGGAUGAAUGUUCUUAAAGGGGGGAAGAAUGUAAUACCCGGCUAGAUUCCGGCAUCGGAAUCCCUACCUCCCGGCGGAAUCUCCAUUGGAAUCUGGGAUUUUGAUGAUGCCAAAGUCUUCUUGUAGGGUAAAAGGUGUUUUCUAAAAUGUUUUUACUGAUUUCAUGGUUUUAAAUGAAAAAGAUUUGAGUUUUGAAAAGAAAAGACCAAUGAGGCAUUUGCCAGGUUCGGCCGCCGAAAGUGAAGUUCGGCCGCCGAACAUGGAAAGGUUUCGGGAGUGCCUUUGGCCUCCGAAAGCCUUGUUUGAAUGAACCAAGGUUCGGCCGCCGAACCUCAAGUUCGGCCGCCGAACAUGCAUGAGUUUAGGGGGCACGUUAGGCUGCCGAAGUUGGUUCAACAGGCCACCUAUAAAGAGCCCUCAGAUCGGAAAUGGGCGAGUUUUCUCCCCAUUCUCGAGCUCAGGUGAGUUUAGGUCCUCCUUUGGUCGUUUUCAUGUUUUUCUCUACCCACCCUUUAAGUUUUCAUGAGAUCUACCCUUGUUUUGAAGAUUUGAAACCAAAUAGAAGUUUUGGAGCUUGGAUCCUCCACACCUCCGAGUUAGGGAUCACACCACCCCUCGAUCUUCAAGAGGUAAGUGUAGAUCCUUGCUUCCCUACUGUUUUUAAUGAAGUUUUAGUAAGUUUAAUGAUGUUUUGAUGGUUGAGUAUGGGUAGAUAUGCACGUAGGGUUUAUGUGGGUUUUAUGCCCAAUGCAUGUUUAUGUGAUGUUAUGUUGAAAGUUAAGUUAGUUUAUACAUGUGGGAGAGUGUAUGCAUGAUUGGGAAGGAGCAAGUGAGAUUAUGGGGUGUUUUGAUGAUUUUGGCCUAUGUGGGUCAUAAGCUAUCUAUGCAUGCUUUGGAUGUUGUUUUUGGAGUUUAAAUCUAGUUGUUAAGCUCCUUUAUGCAUGACUAAAGGUUUAUGCAUGGUUUUGAGAAGUUUAUGCAUGUUUUAAAAGGUUGGAUGCUUGUUUUGGGGGUUUGGGAGGCUUGUAUGCACAAGGGCUGAGUUCUGGAAGAACUCAAGUUCGGCCGCCGAAGGUGGUUUCGGCCGCCGAACAUGCCAUGGAUGCAUGAAUUGGCCGCCAAACCUUGCCCCUGAAAGUUGUGUUUCAGAGCUGAAGCAGACUUUCGGCCAAACCUUGCCGCCGAAGGUGAUGUUCGGCCGCCGAAAGUGCAUGACUUUCGUCUCUGGAGAAAGGGUUCGGCCGCCGAAGGCGCCCCUGAACCUGCAUGACUUUCGUCUCUGGAAGGGACCUUCGGCGGCCGAAAGUGCCGCCGAAAGUGCCCUGUCCAGCCUUUUCAUGAGUGUUCUGUAUGCAUGUUUCCUUGAUGCUUUAAGGGGUUUUUUGGGAGUUGUUUAUGAGUUGUUUAGGGUGUGUUUGGCACCUCACUAGAGUCCACCUGUGUAGGAUCGGACCCGAGGAACCGAGGUGUUUAGCAGUGUCCGCCAUUUCAAAGUCGGCCCAGAGCUAGUCAGAGGUGAGUGGAACUAAACCUAAUGCUUUAAAUUAAGAAAUUAAAUGUUUUUAGAGCAUGAUCCAUGCAUCAUGAAAUGCCAUGAUAUGUAUUAGGUUGUUUUGCAUUAGAAUCCACGAAUAUGAUGCAUUGCAUAAUAUGUUGUUGAUGUGGAUGGAUAUUGGAUGAUCCUUAGCCCUCAGUAUGAGAUGAGAUAAUAUGAUAUGAGAUGACAUGGUAUGAUAUAGAAAGCCCAGGUGUGGCCUAAUCGCCCCUGGCAUCAUGUAUAUGUAAGGAAAGACCAGGUGUGGCCUAAUCGCCCCUGGCAUAGUUGGACAUGUUAUGAUAUGAGUUAUGUAAGCGAAUACUAGGUGUGGCCUCAUCGCCCCUGGUAUAGUUGGACAUAUUUCGAUAUGUAGAGGGCUAAUGGUGACAAGUUCAUCCUUGAUGUGAUAUGUUUGUGAUGUGAUGCAUUCCAUGAUGGCAUACUUGUAAAUGAACUGUUCUGCUAGUGUGGUUUCCGCUCACUGGGUUUUAUAGCUCACCCCUCUCCCCUAACCCCAGGUUUGCAGGGUCAGAGAUAGUCAGAAGAUCAGCAGGUUAUGUCUAUGGUCAGAUUCAUGUAAUAGAUUAGUAGUGGACAUGAUGUAAG